rnacentral:lncRNA from 1 species
GGGUCCUUUCUGAAUAGCUUUAUUGUUUCUAUAUUUUGUAAUGAGCUAGGAUCUAUUAACCUUUGCAAUCUCUCUUUGCAAAUUCCUAAACUUUUUACUCUGAAUAAAUUUGGUGAGUAAUUGGGUUCCCCCACUACUUUCCAUACUUCUCAAAAAAAAAAAAAGUUGUAUGAUGUUGCUUUCAAUCUACGUAAUGGUGCUAUGGUGAUUAUUGAUAGAUAUAGAAAGUCUUGGGUUAAGCAAAAUAUAUUAGGCUCACUACGAGAGGAUGGGCUUCAAUCUUGCAAAGAGACCACUGGGCUUCGAUUUGAAAGAAUGCAGGCAAUUACCUGGAUCC